rnacentral:rRNA from 1 species
UACGAAGGGGGCGAGCGUUGUUCGGAUUUACUGGGCGUAAAGGGCGCGUAGGCGGUAGCACAAGUCAGUUGUGAAAUCUCCGGGCUUAACUCGGAAAGGUCAACUGAUACUGUGCGACUAGAGUGCAGAAGGGGCAACUGGAAUUCUCGGUGUAGCGGUGAAAUGCGUAGAUAUCGAGAGGAACACCUGCGGCGAAGGCGGGUUGCUGGGCUGACACUGACGCUGAGGCGCGAAAGCCAGGGGAGCGAACGGG